rnacentral:misc_RNA from 1 species
AGACAAUCUAAGUGCAUCAAAGAUAAACCACAAUAUUAGAGGCUAGAUACAGAUUUUAAUCAUAUACAUGGAUGUUGAACUGCCUUUCCUUUUGCUGUGUCUUUUGGGAAUGGAUUGGCUGUUAGUUGAUUUUUGCUUCUUGAGGAAUAACCAGCACUCGCUUGCUUGUUGGAUGAUUUGGUAUGUAGCCUUCCUCCUUCUUUCAGCUUUGUUUGCUUACUCCUUGUUGAUUUGUCUUGGGUGGAUUAUCCUCCUUGUUUAAUCCUAUAGGUUUUACUUGGGAAAGUAAUUGGGGCUCACUUUCUGCUUUUCCUUGAUAGUUGUAAAUUUCGAGCUUGCCUUGCUAUCUCGCAAGUGAAUUUUUGUGCAGAAUUUUGAUGGAUUAAUUUUAGAAAACAAUG